rnacentral:rRNA from 1 species
UUGCCAGACUCCUACGGGAGGCAGCAGUGAGGAAUAUUGGUCAAUGGGCGGAAGCCUGAACCAGCCAAGUCGCGUGAGGGAAGAAGGCCCUGCGGGUCGCAGACCUCUUUGGACGGGGAGCAAGGCCACCGACGUGUCGGCGGAAGGAGAGUACCCGUAGAACAAGCAUCGGCUAACUCCGUGCUAGCAGCCGCGGUAAUACGGAGGAUGCGAGCGUUAUCCGGAUUUAUUGGGUUUAAAGGGUGCGCAGGCGGCACGGCAAGCCGGCGGUCAAGUCGCGGGGCUCAACCCCGCCCAGCCGUCGGAACUGCCGGGCUAGAGUGGGCGAGAAGUGCGCGGAAUGCGUGGUGUAGCGGUGAAAUGCAUAGAUAUCACGCAGAACCCCGAUUGCGAAGGCAGCAUGCCGGCUUCCGACUGACGCUGAAGCACGAAAGCGUGGGGAUCGAACAGGAUUAGAUACCCUAGUA